CUUUGUUUACGGUUGUGAGCCGGAGAGGAAUCCAUGCUAGCUGCUGUGUAGCCUGUCCUCCUGGAAGCCAUUGCUUAAGAUUCAGACGAAACCAUCCAGAUGUUAGACGUCCCCGGAGGCUGAGCUGUAUGGAGCUAGUAGUAAACAGCUGGAUUUAAAGUGGCAGUGAGUGACUUUUAGUUUUCAUUAAAGUCAUUUUAUAGUUUUAAAGGAAUUAAAGAGCUGCUUUUAAAACUGAAACAUGGACAAAAUGUGCAAUUUAUUACAUGAAAAUCACACCAUCUUUGAUGAGUAAUUAAAACUGGGCAUCUGCUUUU